GACGAACGCUGGCGGCGUGCUUAACACAUGCAAGUCGAACGGAAAGGCCUGUCCUUCCUUGUGUUGGACGGGUACUCGAGUGGCGAACGGGUGAGUAACACGUGAGUGAUCUGCCCCCAACUUGGGUAUAAGCCUGGGAAACUGGGUCUAAUUCCCGAUAGGACUGCAGGGUGGUGCCUGUGGUGGAAAACGAUUUUCUAGUGGUUGGGGAUGAGCUCGCGGCCUAUCAGCUUGUUGGUGGGGUAAUGGCCUACCAAGGCGGCGACGGGUAGCCGGCCUGAGAGGGUGGACGGCCACAUUGGGACUGAGAUACGGCCCAGACUCCUACGGGAGGCAGCAGUGGGGAAUAGUGCCCAAUGGGCGGAAGCCUGAUGCAGCGACGCCGCGUGGGGGAUGACGGCCUUCGGGUUGUAAACUCCUUUCGACCGCGAGGAAGCCGCCUGGUUGGAAGGGUGGUGACGGUAGUGGUAGAAGAAGCACCGGCUAACUACGUG
rnacentral:rRNA from 1 species